UUAAGACCCUAGUGCACAACGAGGCUUGACAAGCCUCCGCACAUCGAUUGCAAUAAAAUUAACGAUUUAAUCCUCACAAAUAGUGGUUUAAAUCGUUUUAAUACAACAUUUCGUUUCCUUUUUAAUUAUAUUAAACCUUUUUAUCAUUCUAUCUAAUUAAAAGUGCGAUGUAUUUACUAUCGAUUCCUAAGAAUCGAUAGUAAAUAAGUUGUUUGGGUGCAGACAACAGAUCUUGUUUGUUUACGUUUUUUUAAACGAUGAGUCGAUGACGUCUUUAGACGAAAGAGCAGUGCAGAAGCUCUGCAGGCAUUAGUUAUGCCUGAAAUUUUCGAGGGAAUCACAUAAUGAAGCUCAACGGAAGAAGCAACGCAUAAUCGGUCAACGAGUAAGAAUAAGCCAGGGGAAAUCUAGUGCUAGGCUUGUGGGUCAACCUGAGCUGGCCUCAGGAGCGAGAGUUAUCAAGAAAGGCUCAAAAGAAGUAACCUAAUAUGGUCCAUACCUUGGAACGGAAGACCCAAAUUCCCAACAAGUCAGAUGGUGGAAAUCCUGGCAAUCAGACUAAGCGAUUAAAUAGUCUUCAUGGCAAGCAUGAGCAGGUGUCAUUGAAUAAUCAUGCCAUCCUUUGGUCUUCGAUUUGUGUGAAAACCCCAAACACUGUUCGUGCAGUGUCAAAUGGUGUAAGUUUUAUGAUGAAGGUGCUGAAAUCUCAGGUAGCUAAAUUCACUGAUACCCAAAGAAGGCGCGUAUUGACAAGAUAAUUUUGAUCGUCUUAAUGAGAAAGGUGUGAUUGUGACGACGUGACGCAACCAGAUUUAGAUAUGUAUUCCCGUGUCACACUUGUUGGUUCAGUUCCUUUGUUUGAAAACUAUUUUGUCAUUGAUGCAUGGAUUCUAUGAUGAUGGAUGGAUGGAGAUGGAUAUACACAUGGAGUCUACGAUAUAAGUAAGAAAUUGUUCAAAACCAGAACAAGAUGGCCAUGUUUGAUUGCUUCUCCGCCCGCUGAAUCUCCGUUCGCAAAAUCUCCGUUCGCACAAGGUGACGAUUUCACGGAUGAGUUUACGGAAAAGGAAGAAGAUCUAUUGGACGGAUUGGGGUCGGGCGAAGAGAAGUUUGAAGACGAAGGAGAUAUCGGAUAAACCACUGAAGCCACUGAAGAUUGCGAUUCGGACGCCUUAGCCAUCAACAAAUUAUUAUUAUUUUCUUUUGCAAGUCUGUAGGCUAAUGCAUGAACCAAUUUAUUCCAUACAAAUGUUAAACUGAACUCUCUAGUGUUCUUACUUCAAGUUGCUCGAAGGAAGGUUUUGGAGUGCCGUUAAUAAUGACCGACUCGUCGGAUGUCUUCUGGGGGAGUAUA